AAUCCCCGGGCUCAACCUGGGAACUGCAUUCGAAACUGGCAAGCUUGAGUCUUGUAGAGGGGGGUAGAAUUCCAGGUGUAGCGGUGAAAUGCGUAGAGAUCUGGAGGAAUACCGGUGGCGAAGGCGGCCCCCUGGACAAAGAGACGCUCAGGUGCGAAAGCGUGGGGAGCAAACAGGAUUAGAUACCCUGGUAGUCCACGCCGUAAACGAUGUCGACUGAGGUUGUGCCCUUGAGGCGUGGCUUCCGGAGCUAACGCGUUAAGUCGACCGCCUGGGGAGUACGGCCGCAAGGUUAAAACUCAAAUGAAUUGACGGGGGCCCGCACAAGCGGUGGAGCAUGUGGUUUAAUUCGAUGCAACGCGAAGAACUUCCCUACUCUUG
rnacentral:rRNA from 1 species